AUUGAACGCUGGCGGCAGGCCUAACACAUGCAAGUCGAACGAGUGGCGGACGGGUGAGUAAUGUCUGGGAAACUGCCUGAUGGAGGGGGAUAACUACUGGAAACGGUAGCUAAUACCGCAUCCCAUCGGAUGUGCCCAGAUGGGAUUCGCUUGUUGGUGGGGUAACGGCUCACCAAGGCGACGAUCCCUAGCUGGUCUGAGAGGAUGACCAGCCACACGGGAACUGAGACACGGACAAGACUCCUACGGGAGGCAGCAGUGGGGAAUAGUGCACAAUGGGAGGAAGACUGAUGCAGCCAGGCCGCGUGUAUGAAGAAGGCCUUCGGGUUGUAAAGUACUUUCAGCGGGGAGGCGUUACCAACAGAAUAAGCACCGGCUAACUUCGUGCCAGCAGCCGCGGUAAUAC
rnacentral:rRNA from 1 species